rnacentral:ncRNA from 1 species
UAAAGUUUUAUUUUGGCUAUGGAUUUUGAUUAAUUUUUGUUACUCAUGUAAAGAUUAAAUUUAAUAAAAAUUUAAAUAAUUUUAUUUUAAUUUGCAGUGUGUAGAUUUAUUUAUUUUUGAGAGGAAGAUUUUGUAAUAAAUUUUAGUAUUGACUGAAUUUGUGCCAGCAGUUGCGGUUAAACAUAUGAUACAAUUAAUUUACUUUAGUUAAUAAUUAAUGGUUUAUUUAAAUUAUUAGUUUCUUUUAGUAGGUGAAAUUUUAAAUUAAAUGGAUGAUUUUUUUAGGGGAGCAUGAUUUUUAUUAAAUUUUUAUUUAAACUAGGAUUAGAUACCCUAUUAUUUAAAAUGUAAAUUUUUUGCUAGAUGAGUAAUAGUUAUGUUCUUUAAAAUUAAAAAAUUUGGCGGUAUUUUAGUCUGGUCAGAGGAACCUGUCCUAUAAUUGACAUUCCACGAUUUACUUUACUUUAUAUAUGUUUGUAUACCGUCGUAGUCUGAGUAUUUUAUAAGAAUUUAAAUGUUCAAUUUUUUGUAUUAGAAUAUAAAUCAGAUCAAGGUGCAGCUUUUUAAAGAAGAGAUGGGUUACAAUAAAUUUAUUUAUAUGGUUUAGUAGAUAAAAUUUUAUUAAUAAAUUGGAUUUGUUAGUAAUAAUAUUUAAUUAGAUAUUAUGAUUUAGCUCUAAAAUACGUACAUAUCGCCCGUCGCUCUCAUUUAAGGUGAGAUAAGUCGUAACAAAGUAGGUGUACUGGAAAGUGUAUCUAGAAUGCAA